UACGGGGGGGGCAAGCGUUGUUCGGAAUUACUGGGCGUAAAGGGCUCGUAGGCGGCCAACUAAGUCAGAUGUGAAAGCCCCGGGCUCAACUUGGGAACUGCAUUUGAUACUGUCAGACUAGAGUACAGAAGAGGUGACUGGAAUUCCCAGUGUAGCGGUGAAAUGCGUAGAUAUUGGGAGGAACACCAGAUGCGAAGGCGGGUCACUGGGCUGAUACUGACGCUGAAGUGCGAAAGCCAGGGGAGCGAACGGG
rnacentral:rRNA from 1 species